UUUUGUGGCACUAGCAGCAGUAAUGCCCAGUAAAGCCUACAGUCCUUUUGGGCUUCACAUCCUGGAAGAAAUCCAGAAUUUAACAGUGAAAGAUUUACUAGUGCAGGAACUUCCACGGCUGGUAUUAAGAAGAUUAUGAAACUGAAUGAUGUAAAGAUGAUCAGUAGAGAAGCUCCUGUGCUCUUUGCCAAGGCAGCCCAGAUUUUUAUCACAGAGUUGACUCUUUGAGCCUAGAUUCACACAUAGGCUAAAAAGCACUGGACUCUAUAGGGAAAUGAUGUCACCAUGGGAAUUACAAAAUUAGAUCAGUUAAACUUUCUCAUUGAUAUUGUUUUGACAGAUGAACUGAACCCUCCAAAGCGUCAGGAGGAGGUGUGCCAGUCUAUAACUCCUGCCAAGCCCAUCUAGUACUACUUCAUGCUGGCUUAGCAGCCCUCCACGGUCCAAGUCUAGGGACAGCAGCAAGGCCAGGAGACCACCAGCUCUAUGACCACCAUCCAGCUUGGGUAGAUCAUCAUGCAGCCUCAGCAGGGCCAAAUCAUGCCCCUGACAGUGCAGGUUGGAGAAGGUUGGCAGGUGCAGAUUGUCCAGGCCCAACCACAGGGUCAAGCCUAACAGUCCUAGAGUGACACUGGACAGACUAUGGAAGUUAUGCAACAGAUUAUUACUAAAACAGGAGAGAUCCAGCAGAUCCCAGUGCAGCUGAAGUUGGGCCAGCUAGAAUAUAUUCUCUUAGUCCAGCCUGUAUCAGGUACUCAAGUCGUGCAGGAACAGAUAUAGAUGCUUGCCACCAAUGCCCAACAGAUUACAUAGACAGAGGUCCAGUAAGGACAGCGGCAGUUCAACCAGGUCACAGAUGGACACAAGCUCUACCAGAUCCAGCAAGUCACCAUUCCUGUGGACUAGGACCUCACCCAGCCCAUGUUCAACCAGUCAGUCAACCAGCUCUCCUACAGGCAGAACCCCCAGGUGACCCAUGAC
rnacentral:lncRNA from 1 species